rnacentral:rRNA from 1 species
AUGGGGGCAAAAAUUGACCAGUCUGUUAAUGAUGGCGGAGGUCCAAUUUUUUUUAAAAAUGGUCAGGUUUGUCAUCAUAUAGGCUCGUUGCUUCCAAAUGAAGGUGAUACACCCAAGUAUGUAGAGUUAUAUAUACAUGACAGAGAAAAUGAGGUUAAGAACAGAAUUCAAGCUCUAAAUCACCAUGAUGAAACAUGCGCCGGGUUAGAUAAGGACAUUGUGAGGGGUCUUAUGCAAAUGCUUGAUACAGAUAAUUCUUUAGUCAAAAAGUUUCAUAUGGCUGCGGAGAUAUUGGAACAAAAUAAACAUGAGGUGAUUUCAAUAAGGCUUAUAGCUCCUGGCGAGAAUGAUAGCCCUCAGUUUAGUUUACCAGCGACAGAUGAGCUGGUGGCUUUGGUUUAUGGUGAGUUCACGUUAGAGGCACCAUGUCGAGAUCUGAUCAUACAGACUAAAGGCGAUAGGUUGCACCAUAUUUCUUCUUUAGAUACUACCUACAUGUCCUUGCAAUACCCUUUGUUGUUUCCAUAUAGUGAGUGUGGUUUCCAGCUCGGUGUGCACUACAUCGGUGCUGAUGUUGAUGACCUGAACAAGAGGGUGAAAAUGACCAUGCAAGAUUACUAUUGCUUUUUCACAUUUAAACCUAACCUGCACAAUCCAUAUCUUUGUUGUGGCCUAUUGUCAUCACAGGCUAUUGUUGACUUCCGUGCUUGCAUUGAUGAGUGCCGCCUCAAUUUUAUUCUUAAGUGUAAUGAUGAAAUGCGGGCUGAAAAUCUUCAGGGGGUUGUUGACAUAGUAGACCAGGGUAUGAUUGAUGGAUCAGAGGUUGGGAAGAAAAAUAUUCUUCCAUCAACCUACACUGGCGGUCGUCGGUAUAUGUAUGGAAAUUUCCAAGAUUCUGUUGUUGUCUCCCGGGUUCAUGGGUCACCGGACGUUUUUACAACUUUCACAUGUAACCCAAAGUGGGAGGAAAUCCUUGAUUCUAUUGAACCUGGGCAAACAAUGAUAGAUAGGGCUGACAUUGCUAUUAGGGUGUACCACAGGAAACUUAUGCAGUACCUUCAUCGAAUCAAAAAAGGGAAUGCCUUUGGUCUUAUUGUUGCUGGUACUGCCCCUUGCAAGCCUCUUUCAUUUUGCUCUUUCUCUUUCUACGUUGUUCUUACGUCUUUUAUGUCGCCUUUCUCUCCUAUUUUCAGUCUUGCACACUAUUGA